GACGAACGCUGGCGGCGUGCCUAAUACAUGCAAGUAGGACGCAGUUGCGAACGGGUGAGUAACGCGUAGGUAACUACCUAUUAGAGGGGGCUAAAUAUUGGAAACGAUAGCUAAUACCGCAUACUAAUAGAUGGACCUGCGUUGUAUUAGGUAGUAGGUAGGGUAAUGGCCUACCUAGGCAACGAUACAUAGCCGACCUGGGGAGGUGAACGGCCAAACUGGGACUGGGACACGGCCCAGACUCCUACGGGAGGCAGCAGUAGGGAAUCUUCGGCAAUGGGGGGAACCCUGACCGAGCAACGCCGGGGGAGUGAAGAAGGUUUUCGGAUCGUAAAGCUCUGUUGUUAAGGAAGCGGUACUUAACCAGAAAGGGACGGCUAACUACGUGCCAGCAGCCGCGGUAAUAC
rnacentral:rRNA from 1 species